CAGCAGUAGGGAAUAUUGCGCAAUGGGGGAAACCCUGACGCAGCAAUGCCACGUGAGUGAGGAAUGCCUUCGGGUUGUAAAGCUCUGUCCUAUAGGAAGAACGGCAUUAUGGUUAAUACCAUAGUGUUUGACGGUACUAUAGAAGAAAGCACCGGCUAACUCCGUGCCAGCAGCCGCGGUAAUACGGAGGGUGCAAGCGUUGUUCGGAUUUACUGGGCGUAAAGCGCGCGCAGGCGGAUCUUCAAGUCAGAUGUGAAAUACUCGGGGCGUUAACCCCGAAACCUAGCGUCUGAAACUGUUGAUCUUGAGUCUCACAGGGGGUAGGGGAAGUUUCACGUGUAGGGUAAAAAGUACCGUAGAGAUGUGAAGGAACACCGGUGGCGAAGGCGCCUACCUGGAUGAGUACUGACGCUGAGGCGCGAAAGCGUGGGGAGCAAACAGGAUUAGAUACCCUGGUAG
rnacentral:rRNA from 1 species